UUUCCGGCAUCACUGCCCUUCUGUAGCCAGGCAGCGUGGGGGGCGUGGCUCCUGAGCCGCGGAAGGAGAGCUGGAGUCCCACAGCUGCAGGGUGGAGCAGAGAGCUGGAAACUGCAGGCCUAAGAGAGGGGAGACACGGCCAGCGCUCGCUUCGGGGAGAUCACCUUGAAGCAGAGCCAAGGACAAUGUUCUAAGACCAGAAGUCCGUCCUCCUGGGGAGCUGAGCCAAGCAUGUGGAGACAAACUUAAGUUCAUUCAGCAAACUCGUACUGAGAGGCCCUUGCUAAGCUGCAGGGAAUACGACUAAGACAAGCCUUACCUUCUUGAGGUUUAGAUAUAACUGAAGAAGAUACAAAAGGGCAAACAAGCAAGCUCGUAAAUAAACGCAUUCACUACUGUGGCUCCUCAUCUGUAGGACGAACGUGACUGGAGCCCCACAUACCCACCCCCUGCAGACCUCAAUGAAGAGAAGCAGCUGGAUUUUGGGGGCAUUUGUACUGUCAGGACCAUUCAGGCUAGCCGUGGAGGUUUCCAUUCAGCAGGCUGUGAGCUGGACGGGCUUUGGGAGUGAGGAUGCAGGCUCAGCUGGCUGACUGUCCUCUCAUAUGGCUGAUCUCCAGGGAGCAUGCUGCCUGGUCAGAGAGACCACUUCCCGAGUCCCUGAGGAGAUGGCAAGAAGACAGGGAGUGUUUGAUGUUGUCUGGUAUACCCUCAGUCUGAUACAGCAAGGAUUGCUCUUAUUGUUCACACUUCGGGGAUGACAACCCUGGUCAGGAGGAACCCUGCUCAUAGCACACAGCUAUAGUGGUGGGGCCAGGCCAGGAGGGACAGCCGCUUGGAGUCGGUGUGGAGGGACCCCACACUCCAAUGACACAGGGGCUACGGCCUAAUUUCACACUUGUCCAGGGAGGCAGAUUCGAACCUGGUGGCAGCUUUCCACCCUCUAGACCUUCCUCGCAACACACCUGAUGGAUCAUAUGACUACCAUGAGCUAUCCUGUAUUUGUGUCUUUGUGCUUCUGAAGAAUAGAUUCCUGGAAGUAGAGCUGCUCGGGUUCAAACCAUGGAGACCACUGAGCUGCACUUACCAGCGCUCCUACCUGCCACUAAUGUCUGAGAAUGCAUUUCCCCACACCUUGGCCAACAUGGGCUGUAACAAUUUAAUGUUGCCAGGGUGAUAGAGAACAAAAAUUUUGUUUUAAUUUUAAUUUUAAUUAUAAUUUCCUGAAUAUUACAUCCAAAGUUAAGCAUCCUUACAUUUGUUCAUUGUUGAUAUUUCUUAUAUCUGUGAAUUACUUUUUCAUAUACUUUGCCCACCUUGUUUGUUUUGUUUUUGAUCCUUUUUUUAUUGAUUUGUAGGAGCUCUUUAUAUGUACUGGAUAUUAUAUGUCUGCAUUUUCAGUUGCUUUAAGCAUUUUCUUCCAGUCUAUCAUUUGUCUUUUAACUGUCUGUUAUUUUUGGACAAACAAGUUUUAAAUAUUUUGGUUAGUUAUAUUUCUAAUUCAUGCCCUUUUUAGGUCUGUAGAUUUUAUGUAUUAGUAAGGAAGUACAUCCUACUAAGAUUGUAAGGAACUAUUUUUUUUGUACUUACCUUUUGGAACCAUUUGUAAUUUAUUUUUUAUUAUGCUGUGGGAGUAUGCUAUAUAGAAUUUUUUAUAUGGAUAGCCAAUAGCCCCCAUAUUGUCAUUUAUUGACUAUUUCAUUGUUUUGCCACUGAAUUUAAGAAGCCAACUUUAUGAUAACUGUUUUUCCAUAUGUACACAAUAUGUUUCUAGAUUUGUUCCUCUAUUUUUGGCUAUUUCUAUAGGAAUUCCCUACUGAUUUAAUUGCUAUGACCUUUAAAAUAGUUGGAUAUCUCACAAGGGAAGUUAUCCCUCGUUGUUUUUCUUUUUUCAAAUUUUUUGUCUACCUCUAGAAAUUUCCCUUCCAGGGAAAAGAAGCAUCUUGUCAGAUACCAUGAACAGUCUUACUGAGAUUUUGAUUGGGGUCCCAUUGAAUUAUAGAUCAUUUAUGGGAGAACCCAUAUAUCUAACUCUUAUUGAAGGCUAUUCAGUAAAACUUAGUAGCCUUUUUAUAUAGUUCUUAGACAUUUUAUUAGAUUUCUUUCUAGACAUUUGGGAAUUUGUUGCUUUUAAUAAUGAGAGUGUUUUCAUUUCACUUUCUUAUUGGUGUUUGCAAGCAUGUAAUUAAGCUAUUGAUUUUUCUGUGCUGACCAUAUAUCUAGCUAUACUGCUAAAUUCUCUUAUUUGUUUGUCAAUUGAUUCUCUUGAGAAUUUUCUAUGUGGAUGAUUGGAUAGUCUGCAAGUAAUUUCAGUUUUGUCCCUUCUUUCCAAUGUUAAUAUAUCAUAGCUUUGGCUAGAAUCUCCAAUAAAAAGGCUGAAUGAUGCAAUAAUGGGAA